rnacentral:rRNA from 1 species
AUUGAACGCUGGCGGCAGGCUUAACACAUGCAAGUCGAGCGGGGGAGGUUGCUUCGGUAACUGACCUAGCGGCGGACGGGUGAGUAAUGCUUAGGAAUCUGCCUAUUAGUGGGGGACAACAUUCCGAAAGGGAUGCUAAUACCGCAUACGCCCUACGGGGGAAAGCAGGGGAUCUUCGGACCUUGCGCUAAUAGAUGAGCCUAAGUCGGAUUAGCUAGUUGGUGGGGUAAAGGCCUACCAAGGCGACGAUCUGUAGCGGGUCUGAGAGGAUGAUCCGCCACACUGGGACUGAGACACGGCCCAGACUCCUACGGGAGGCAGCAGUGGGGAAUAUUGGACAAUGGGCGGAAGCCUGAUCCAGCCAUGCCGCGUGUGUGAAGAAGGCCUUAUGGUUGUAAAGCACUUUAAGCGAGGAGGAGGCUACUUUAGUUAAUACCUAGAGAUAGUGGACGUUACUCGCAGAAUAAGCACCGGCUAACUCUGUGCCAGCAGCCGCGGUAAAAC